UUAGUACUGUAUAUUCUAUGUAGAAAUUUGGUGCAGCUAUGCAAAUGCACCAUAAUUUUUUUGUCUUACUUUUUGUGAUCCUUCUAUGUAUCCACCAGUCUCUUGGAAUAGAUAUGAUCUCCGUAAAUCACUCCAUUUUUGGGAACCAAACUAUAAUCUCUUCAGGUGAAAACUUUGAGCUAGGAUUCUUCAAACCAGGUACGCCGAAAAAAUAUUAUCUUGCUAUAUGGUACAGGAAUGUAAUUCCACAAACCGUAGUUUGGGUAGCGAACAGGGAGAAGCCACUUUUGUCUGCUGAUAUGAUGUCCGCCGAGUUGAAAGUUUUAGAUAGCAAUUUAGUGCUUAUUACUGAAUCCAAAAGCUUGUUUUGGUCCACAAAUAUCACCUCCACCAGCUCAAAUUCACUAGUAGCAACUAUUUUUGAUGAUGGAUUAAACUCAACUCCUCCACUUUGGCAAAGCUUUGAUCACCCGACUGAUACAUGGUUGCCAAAUGCUAAAACGAAAUACGAUAAGCGUUCUAAUCCUACAAAAAUAUUAUUUCUUGGAAGAAUUCAGAGGAUCCUUCUCCGGUAAAUUUUUCCGUAGAGAUGGAUCAGAGCAAUAGGCAGUUCCUCUUAAAGUGGAACAGGACUGAAAUGUACUCAGCUACUGGACCUUGGAAUGGGCGAAUUUUCAGCUUGAUGCCUGAAAUGAGUUUGAAUUCUGAGAGAUACAAUUUUAGUUAUGUUGAUAAUUGAAAUGAGAGCUAUUUUAUGUAUUAUGUAAGCAAUUCUCAGAAAAUUAGAUUAACACUAGAUGUUUCAGGGCAAAUCAAGCAUCUGAUUUGGGUGGAAAAUUUGAUGGAAUGGCAACUUUUUACAACUCAACCAAGACAACCUUGCGAGGUUUAUGUUGGAAUUUUGCUUAAAAAUGAGAAUGGUUAUUGUCCCACAUUGGAAAAAUGUUGAAGAGUAGCUUGGAGGCUUGCCUAUAAGGGGGCUUAAGUUAUGUUUUCAAAUGUACCAAACCAAAUGUAUUUCUAACACUUUUUGUUAGGAGAAAGUACUAAGGUUUAUGUGAUUGUAAAAAUUUUUCACAUAGUGGUCGGUUGUUGUCUUUUGACAACGGUUGUGGUUUUUCACGGUUUUGGGUUUCCACGUUAAAUUCUUGUGUUGUUUUAUUUCUCAAUUUUUCUCUUUACAAAAGGGGCAGAGAUCUCGGGGUUUACGGGAAAGGGUCAUUUCUUUUUUCCCGACAAGUGGUAUUAGAGCGAGGUUGUCUAGCUUGACGGGGGAAUUUUAGUAUGCUCUGUGGCCGCAGCUUUGGCUGAUCUUCCACAUCAGAAAAGAUUUUCUGGUUCAAGAAGCUUGUAGGAGGGGAAGUUGGUGCAAUUGGAGAAGUGUUGUUUAGCGAAUUUCAAGGCCUUCCACGAAUUUCAAAACGCGUAGUUGCUAUAGGCGCGAAUUUAUUAAUAAAAUAUCUUUCUAAACUCGGGUGCGCAUUUAUGUGACCCAAAUCCAAGUCUCAGUGAUAUUAAAAUAUGUCGAGGACCCGGGUGCAUUUAUGUGAUGUGGUUCGGGAUGUAUUUUAAUAAUGUUGCAAAUAUCUCUAAAAUGAAUAAAUCGGUCAAUAAUUUUUAAAAUUGCAAUAUAGGAUGACUAUAUACAAAAAUAAGAGUUUUAGCCAAUUAUAAUAGUUUAAGCGACCGUGUUAGAACCACGGGAUCCCAAGGUGUCUAACACCUUCCCCCGGGUCAACAGAAUUCUUUACUCAAGAAUUUAUGGUUCGCAGACUCCAAUUGGGCAGUCGAAAAUUUUUCCUCGAUUUGAGAUUCAAAAUAAAUCGUGACUUGGGACACCAAAAGUCAAACCUAUCCCAAGCGACGACUCUUAAGUAACAAAUAAUCUCAUUUCAAAUAAUGUCACAUUUAUUAAAAAAACUCCCUUAUACGUUUAUCCUUCGGGGUAGCCGUGUAAAAAAGGAGGCGUGACACCAGAAAUAUCAGUGCUAAAGAGAAAGAACAGUCUGUUCAUAAAAACCAGAAAAAUUAACCAAACGUAAAAUCGAACCAAAUUGAUCGAAAAAACUAAUAACUUUUGGUUUGGUUUAGUUUUAUUUUGAUUUUGAAUUUUAAAAAUCAAUUAAUUUUAGUUUGAUUUUGGUUUCAAUAAAAAGAAUUAGCGAAAAAAAUAUCAAACCAAACUGACUAUAAAAGUAGCUAUUUAAAAUUUAGUAUUAUAACUAUAUAUAUAAGUAUAUUUUUAUUAAAAUUUUAUCAUCAAUCUGAUAUAAUUUCUCAAAGAGCAAUUAAUUGACUAAUGCUAUGUUGAAAUGUAGUCGGCGGAAUAUGUGUUUGGUAGUGUAUAUUUCAUAUUUAAAAAAAAUCGAUAACAAAAACAUAAAUCAAUAAAAUCGACUUAAUUAAUUUGAUUUGAUUUGAUUACAAUAUUUAAAAAACAUAUUUACUUGAUUUGAUUUCUUUUUAAGAAAAAAUCGAUUCAAAUCGAACCACUAACACCCUACCCAGAAGAGUGAUGGCAGCCUUAUUUGAAAAUUAUUAUUUUGUAAGCAAAGUCCAGAUAAAUGACUUACUAACCGCGUUGUGCUUAUUGACUUAGACAAGCUCCCUUUGAUAAAGAGAGUCUUACCGUAACAUAAGAGUGAUGACUUUAAUAAGCGAAUUAGUACUGUAUAUUCUGUGUAGAAAUUUGGUGCAGGUGCAGCUAUGCAAAUGCACCAUAAUUUUUUUGUGUUACUUUUUGUGAUCCUUCUAUGUAUCCACCAGUCUCUUGGAAUAUAUAUGAUCUCCGUAAAUCAUUCCAUUUUUGGAGACCAAACUAUAAUCUCUUCAGGUGAAAACUUUGAGCUAGGAUUCUUCAAACCAGGUACGUCGAAAAAAUAUUAUCUUGGUAUAUGGUACAGGAAUGUAAUUCCACAAACCGUAGUUUGGGUAGCAAACAGGGAAAGGCCACUUUCUGCUACUGAUAUGAUGUCCGCCGAGUUGAAAGUUUUAGAUGGCAAUUUAGUGCUUACUACUGAAUCCAAAAGCUUGCUUUGGUCCACAAAUAUCAGCUUCCCCAGCUCAAAUUCACUAGUAGCAACUCUUUCUGAUGAUGGUAAUUUGAUUUUUAGUGAUGGAUUAAACUCAAUUCCUCCACUUUGGCAGAGCUUUGAUCACCCGACUGAUACAUGGUUGCCAAAUGCUAAAACGAAAUAUGAUAAGCGUUCUAAUACUACAAAACAAAUUAUUUCUUGGAAGAAUUCAGAGGAUCCUUCUCCGGGAAUUUUUUCCGUGGAGAUGGAUCAGAGAAAUAGGCAGUUCCUCUUAAAGUGGAACAGGACUGAAGUGUACUCAGCUACGGGACCUUGGAGCGGGCGUAUUUUCAGCUUGAUGCCUGAAAUGAGUUUGAAUUCUCUGAGAUACAAUUUUAGUUAUGUUGAUAAUGAAAAUGAGAGCUAUUUUAUGUAUUCUGUAAGCAAUUCACACAAAAUUAGAUUAACACUAGAUGUCUCAGGGCAAAUCAGGCAUCUGAUUUGGGUGGAAAAUUUGAUGGAAUGGCAACCUUUUACAACUCAACCAAGACAACCUUGCGAGGUUUAUGCUAGUUGUGGUGCCUUUAGCAUUUGCAAUAAGGAGUCCGCGUCCUUUUGUAAUUGCUUGACCGGUUUCACACCUAGAUCUGAUGCAGAAUGGGACUUGAAUGAUCAUUCCGGUGGUUGUGUAAGGAGGUUAAGCUUGCAGUGUGGUGUUGGUAAAACGAAGGGCGGUUUUUUGAGG
rnacentral:lncRNA from 1 species